AUUGAACGCUGGCGGCAGGCCUAUCACAUGCAAGUCGAGCGGAGCGUAGGACGGGUGAGUAAUGCCUAGGAAUCUGCAUAUUAGUGGGGGACAACUUCUUGAAACGGCUGCUAAUACCGCAUACUCACAGAUGAGCCUACGGCGGAUUAGCUAGUUGGUGGGGUAAAGGCUUACCAAGGCGACGCUCUGUCACGGGUCUGAGAGGAUGAUCCGGCACGCUGGGACUGAGACGCGGUCCAAACUCCUACGGGAGGCAGCAGUGGGGAAGAUUGCACAAUGGGCGCAAGCCUGAUGCAGCCAUGCCGCGUGUAUGAAGAAGGCCCUAGGGUUGUAAAGUACUUUCAGUCGGUAGGCGUUACCGACAGAAGAGGCACCGGCUAACACGGUGCCAGCAGCCGCGGUAAUAC
rnacentral:rRNA from 1 species